AAGCCAGCUGGGAGGAGACCUUUUUCCAAAGUCACUCACACAGCCUCAGGUGUUUACAGGCCUCAGGUCCUUGCUGGCUGUUGGCCAGAGGCCUCAGUUCCUUGCCACAAGGGCCUCCCCAUAGGUUACUCACAACAUAACAGUUUGCAGCCCCCAGAACAAGGACCCCAGAGACAGAGUGAGAGAGGGCAAGAGAAGGCAAGAUGCAAGUCACACUCUUUUUGUAACCUAAUCCCAUCACAUUUCCUGAAUUCUGCUCAUUAGAAAGAAGUCACUAGAUUCAGCCCACAUUCAAGAUGAGAAAUACCAGAAGGCAGAGAACACUGAGGCUGUUUUAGAGGCUGUCAACCCCAGGGAGACAGACAGCAAAUAAGUAAGCAAAUAAAUAAAAAUGGAAGGUGAUAAUAAGUGCAAUGAAAAGAAAUGAAGCAGAGUAAAGAAUCAAGAGUAGCAGUUGAGGGGAUGCUUGGAUGUUUUCACACCACUCUGACACAUGGAUGGAAGGUUAGAAGACAACAAAGGAAUGGGCUGGGAAGGACUCCAAAAGCAGAAUCAGAGAUUAUAUCAUUCCUUGGAAAUGGAGAAAAGGAUCAAAAAAGCUGAAUAAAAGGCAAACAUGGAGGAACAGAGUUUGGAGCAAUACCCUGACUUACAUUCAGUACUGUUAAUGGCUCCAGCAUCUUGAAACAAACCAAUUUUGGAUUUUCAGUGAAAAAGAAAGCCAACCCAGAAAAUCACUUAGGAAGAUCCAGACAACAGAUGGUACGCCAAAAGUGAACAAUGAUCUCAGUAACUGAGGCCUCAGAGACAAGAUGAUCCAUUCCACAGCUGGAUAUUGUAAAACUUGGGUACCAGUGGUGCGCAGAUCUGACCAUUAAAACUAUGUACUUCUUGAGUCACAAACCAGUGUGUGUGACUGGUUAAAACCCAGUCACAACCUGGAAAAAGUUGUGGAAAGCACCUGGGGACUGAGGAGAAGCAAACUUCCUUAGGUUUACACAGUAUGGCUGGCACCUUAAGCAAGUUAAAAUCGGUCUCAAUUCCCUGCAGAAUAAGGGCAACACCAAUUAUGCUACCUACUUCAUGCAAGAACCUAAAAUGAAAAAUAAAAUUGCUUUUAAAAUGUGCUCCAGCCAAAUAAGCUGGUAUUUUAUGAAAA
rnacentral:lncRNA from 1 species